UUGUAUGCACUCUCCCUUUUCAGCCCUCCAACAAAUAAGUGACAUCUUUCUAUCUUCUUGAAUCCUUCUCCCAUUUCAACUAUACCAUUCAUACUUGCAGUUUUCUCGUUCUUUUCCUCUGCCUUACACCCUUUCCAGCCAGACCCAACCAACACAACCACUAUCCUAGGUAGAAAGUAUGGGCAUCCAUGUAAGCCUCAGAUUUCUCCAGAAAGGACCAGAAACUUUUAGUGAUUUCUAACAAGUUCUAGCCAACAUUGACAAUAUCCCCAAUUAAGUUUCUUCGUCGCGCUACCAGCUAGUAAUAUAAGUGGGAAGAUAGAGUACCAACUACAACUAUAGUUCAAUACAUCACAAGAGUGGAUAUAUUAGGUAGGCAGAUGCCUAUUCAAUAAAUACACAUCACAGAUGGCCAUCGCAACAAGCAUGACAGUGUUAUGAGGUUAUUUAGAAGGGAAAAGCUUUAGAACAGUGAUUUGGGAGCGCAUGCGGUCAUCCUAAAGGUCCAGUACUAGCUACCAGUGGUGAUCGUUCGUGCCAACAACUACUUUUGGAUCGGAGGCGAGGGUGAGCACUUGGCAUCCUGGACUUGAGUGUCUCUUUCUAUCUAUUGCAUAUCUAGUCUUUUGUAUUUUGAGAUAACUUUCUUUUUGGUCCACUUUUGGGACUUGUAAGUUAGAAUAACUCUGUACUUGUGACUUCUAGGUUCUA